rnacentral:tRNA from 1 species
GGAGGCGUGCCAGAGCGGCCGAAUGGGACUCACUGCUAAUGAGUUGUCCCCUUUACGGGGGACGGUUCAAAUCCUCUCGCCUCCGC